rnacentral:rRNA from 1 species
GAUGAACGCUGGCGGCGUGCCUAACACAUGCAAGUCGAACGAGAUGCGUAUUGGAAAGCUUCGGCCGGAAGAUGCGUUAUCUAGUGGCGGACGGGUGAGUAACACGUGGGUAACCUGCCUUAUGGAGGGGGAUAACAGAGAGAAAUCACUGCUAAUACCGCAUAAGCACACAUUGCCGCAUGGCAGAGUGUGAAAAGAUUUAUCGCCAUAAGAUGGACCCGCGUCUGAUUAGCCAGUUGGCAGGGUAAAAGCCUACCAAAGCAACGAUCAGUAGCCGAUCUGAGAGGAUGACCGGCCACAUUGGGACUGAGACACGGCCCAAACUCCUACGGGAGGCAGCAGUGGGGAAUAUUGCACAAUGGGGGAAACCCUGAUGCAGCGACGCCGCGUGAGUGAAGAAGUAUUUCGGUAUGUAAAGCUCUAUCAGCAGGGAAGAUAAUGACAGUACCUGACUAAGAAGCCCCGGCUAACUACGUGCCAGCAGCCGCGGUAAUACGUAGGGGGCAAGCGUUAUCCGGAUUUACUGGGUGUAAAGGGAGCGUAGACGGAGUGGCAAGUCUGAAGUGAAAACCCUGGGCUUAACCUGGGGACUGCUUUGGAAACUGUUAAUCUAGAGUGUUGGAGAGGUAAGUGGAAUUCCUGGUGUAGCGGUGAAAUGCGUAGAUAUCAGGAAGAACACCGGAGGCGAAGGCGGCUUACUGGACAAUAACUGACGUUGAGGCUCGAAAGCGUGGGGAUCAAACAGG